GAUGAACGCUGGCGGCGUGCUUAACACAUGCAAGUCGAGCGAGUGAGUUCUUCGGAACGAUCUAGCGGCGGACGGGUGAGUAACACGUGGGCAACCUGCCUCAUAGAGGGGAAUAGCCUCCCGAAAGGGAGAUUAAUACCGCAUAAAAUUAUCGAGUGGCAUCACAUGAUAAUCAAAGGAGUAAUCCGCUAUGAGAGGGGCCCGCGGCGCAUUAGCUAGUUGGUGAGGUAACGGCUCACCAAGGCGACGAUGCGUAGCCGACCUGAGAGGGUGAUCGGCCACAUUGCGACUGGUAAACGGCCCAGACUCCUACGGGAGGCAGCAGUGGGGAAUAUUGCACAAUGGGGGAAACCCUGAUGCAGCAACGCCGCGUGAGUGAUGAAGGUCUUCGGAUUGUACAGCUCUGUCUUUGGGGACGAUAAUGACGGUACCCAAGGAGGAAGCCACGGCUAACUACGUGCCAGCCGCCGCCGUAA
rnacentral:rRNA from 1 species